UACGUAGGGGGCAAGCGUUGUCCGGAAUCAUUGGGCGUAAAGCGCGCGUAGGCGGCCCUGUAAGUCCGUUGUGAAAGUCAAAGGCUCAACCUUUGAAAGCCGAUGGAUACUGCAGGGCUCGAGUUCGGAAGAGGCGAGUGGAAUUCCUGGUGUAGCGGUGGAAUGCGCAGAUAUCAGGAGGAACACCGGUGGCGAAGGCGGCUCUCUGGACGGAUACUGACGCUGAGGCGCGAAAGCGUGGGGAUCAAACAGG
rnacentral:rRNA from 1 species